GACGAACGCUGGCGGCGUGCCUAAUACAUGCAAGUCGAACGCAGUGGGGAAGAGUGAGUAACCCGUGGGUAACCUCCCAUCAGACGGGAUAACAGGUGGAAACAGGUGCUAAACGGAUACUGGUGGAUGGACCCGCGGUGCAUGAGAUAGUUGGUGAGGUAAGGGCCCACCAAGGCAACGAUGCAGCGCCGACCGUAGAGGGUGAGCGGCCACACUGGGACGUAGACACGGCCCAGACUCCUACGGGAGGCAGCAGUAGGGAAUCUUCGGCAAUGGACGAAAGUCUGACCGAGCAACGCCGCGUGAGUGAAGAAGGUUUUCGGAUCGUAAAGCUCUUUUGUUAGAGAAGCGGUAUCUAACCAGAAAGCCACGGCUAACUACGUGCCAGCAGCCGCGGUAAUAC
rnacentral:rRNA from 1 species